UACGAAGGGGGCUAGCGUUGUUCGGAUUUUACUGGGCGUAAAGCGCACGUAGGCGGAUUGUUAAGUGAGGGGUGAAAUCCCAGGGCUCAACCCUGGAACUGCCUUUCAUACUGGCAAUCUCGAGUCCGGAAGAGGUGAGUGGAACUCCUAGUGUAGAGGUGGAAUUCGUAGAUAUUAGGAAGAACACCAGUGGCGAAGGCGGCUCACUGGUCCGGUACUGACGCUGAGGCGCGAAAGCGUGGGGAGCAAACAGG
rnacentral:rRNA from 1 species